rnacentral:lncRNA from 1 species
CACUUCUUUCAGGGCAUUUGAAUGACCCCUGGAUGUUUCCCCUUCUUUGUUUGGCUCACCUUUCCCUCCUCUUCUUUUCCCCUGGCCCUGUGCCUUUAACGGCAGACUUGGCUCGCAAAAAAUGAAGCCAGCAUCACUUUCUCCGUCCCUUCGCUCCAUGCCAGGAAGUGCAUAAUCUACAGGAAGAGCCUAAUCUACUUACCGAGUUCUUUUCUUCUUCUGUUUUGCAUGCUAGGCUACUGCUUACAAGGUGCAGGAAGUGGGGGCCCAAACCCAGUGGUAGCAAUGGUCCCCCACUUGCAAGCCUGGAUUCAAAAUCCAGAAAUGGUGAUCUCCGAAACCCUUCCUCCUCUUCCUUCAUCUGACAGCCUUGAAGUCUUGUUUUCAAUUUCAACUCUUCCCAGGAGCUGCCACCAAGCUAGAAUAGAGUUGUGCGGGGGGCGGGGGGACGGAGAGAACAAUCUGGUCUUCCACCUCACCUUGAACAGAGGUUAGAUGUACAGAAACCAGCCCAGGAAACUAUUUUGUGUGUGUAUUUGUUUGUUAUGGAGCUAAAACAUCAGCUCCCAAUAAUGGCUACCGUUUGAUCUGCUCUUAGGUUCAAAGGUUGGCAGCCCUAAAUUUCACACCCUCUGACAUUUCUCUGAUGAAAAUAGGGAUGUCCUUUUCAAUCAUCAUCAUCAUCCCUCACCCAUCUGACUGGGUUGCCCCAGCCACUCUGAGCAGCUUCCAACAUACUGAAAUGCAUAACAAAACAUUAAACAUAAAAAAACUUCCCUAUACAGGGCUGCCUUCAGAUGUCUUCUAAAAGUUGUAUAAUUAUCUCCUUGGCUUGGGGAUCACAUUGAUCCAUACCCUCCAACACUGCUACCAUGAAAAUAGGGACAUCCUAAGGAAAUGUGG